AGUCUUCUGGACAAGUUAGUGGGAGACUUCCUGGAGGUGAAGUGCAUCAAUCCAACUUUCAUCUGUGAUCAUCCACAGAUCAUGAGUCCUCUAGCAAAAUGGCACAGAUCCCAGAAAGGUCUAACUGAGUUUCAUUUGAACUGUUUGUGAUG